rnacentral:rRNA from 1 species
AUUGAACGCUGGCGGCAGGCCUAACACAUGCAAGUCGAACGGUAACAGGAAGAAGCUUGCUUCUUUGCUGACGAGUGGCGGACGGGUGAGUAAUGUCUGGGAAACUGCCUGAUGGAGGGGGAUAACUACUGGAAACGGUAGCUAAUACCGCAUAACGUCGCAAGACCAAAGAGGGGGACCUUCGGGCCUCUUGCCAUCGGAUGUGCCCAGAUGGGAUUAGCUUGUUGGUGGGGUAACGGCUCACCAAGGCGACGAUCCCUAGCUGGUCUGAGAGGAUGACCAGCCACACUGGAACUGAGACACGGUCCAGACUCCUACGGGAGGCAGCAGUGGGGAAUAUUGCACAAUGGGCGCAAGCCUGAUGCAGCCAUGCCGCGUGUAUGAAGAAGGCCUUCGGGUUGUAAAGUACUUUCAGCGGGGAGGAAGGGAGUAAAGUUAAUACCUUUGCUCAUUGACGUUACCCGCAGAAGAAACACCGGCGAACUCCGU